rnacentral:tRNA from 1 species
GUUGUUGCUCAGUUGUAGAGCACUUGCCUAGCAUACAUGAGGCACUGGGUUCGAUCCCCAGGACCACA